CCCUUAGAUGUUCUGGGCCGCACGCGCGCUACACUGAUGCAUUCAACGAGCCUAUCCUUGACCGACAGGUCCGGGUAAUCUUUGAAUCUGCAUCGUGACGGGGAUAGAUUAUUGCAAUUAUUAAUCUUCAACGAGGAAUGCCUAGUAGGCGCAAGUCAUCAGCUUGCGUCGAUUACGUCCCUGCCCUUUGUACACACCGCCCGUCGCUCCUACCGAUUGGGUGUGCUGGUGAAAUGUUCGGAUCGGCCGUUUGUCGCGGUUUCCGCGUCAUGUGGCUGAGAAGUUAAUUAAACCCUCCCACCUAGAGGAAGGAGAAGUCGUAACA
rnacentral:rRNA from 1 species